UUCCAAUUUAAAAUCGCUUUGAUUAGUGGCCUGUUUAUGUAACAGAGAAAGUUUGAGACAAGAGUCCAAGAUUCAAAAGAGUUUGUCACAAACGUUUUGCAUUUGUCAUGCUGUAUACUUCGCUAUAUCAAACAGUUCAGCUUUUAUAUGUCAUUAACAAUUUUUACUACUUUGUUUUUCGUUCCUAAGGUACUUGAUUUAGCACAUGUGCUCACAAAUCGAGCUCCUCUGUGACUCAUGAGCUUCUGAGUUCCUAAAGGCCUGGUCAACAUGGACAAAAGAGCUGGAGAAGAUGUUGGAAAUGCUGUAUAUUGUUCCACUGAAUGUUGUAUUAUGGAAGCAGACUCCACGGGGAGCAGAGACCCCAUCGAUCAGUUAUUUCCCCACAGCUUUCCUGUUAGUCACAUGCUUUGCUGGGAAAUAAACCUCCAAAUCUCACAAUGCUCCGCUGCUACCUGGCCCGUACAAGUCCUUCUUGUUCUCACAGAAGAAUGCUGUUGUCCCAUCAGAUUAAGCAGAAGAGAAGCGGCAUAGUAGCCUGUCCCGUCCCUCUCUGGCAGCCGGCAGACAAGAUUAUGUAAUGCUGGUCCCUCAAACGAUGUGGCAAUUGCCAAACACAUGGCAUAUGGUCUAUCAAAAGGCUGAUUUUAAGAUUUCCUGUUUAGAUGCACUCGCUCUAAACUUCUCAAGAUGUUGAUGCAAUGAAAAAAAAAAAAAGUGGCUUUCGAACAUUGAUUUUGGUUGAAUCCGCUACCAUAUGGUUUAAUGUGGCUUUCUUCUGGACAGAGGCCAUCCGGGAAAACAUUGGCAUCACUUUUAUCUCACUCUCUCUUUCUUCUUCAAUAACAGCCAACACAUAGCAGCAGAUUAGAGGCCCUCAUAGUCCUCCCAACCCCCGGCACAUAACAAUGGUGUUAGCUGGGGCCAUACAGCUGGUCCGGUCCUGGGUGGAUCUCACACAGAGCCUCAAUCUGCUUCCUGUUACUAGAAUUAUACUGUAAACACUUGUUGUUUAUGCCUGGAAAGGAUAAAUCUGACGGUUGAUCAAAUCGACAUUUGGAUGGUUAUCACUCAUUUACAUAACACGGUAGAAAUUGGAGCGACCGGGCCUUGUUUAAACUGAUUAGACAGGAUUGAAUAACAUUUUUAAAUGACAUAUUUUAGUUCGACCUAUGUGUUGGAAGUGCUCUGCUAGUUGCUUUGGAGUUUUCUGUUUGGUUUUGACUGCCUGCCCAGGCCCAUGCUGUGAAAGCCAAUGUGCAUUCCAGUUGAGAACAUUCUGCUUCGUAUCCUCCUCCGUGUCUUAAAUCACUCUCCUGUCUUAGCGUUCGGAAUUAUUUGCUUCUAUUUUUCAUUCCAGCUCAUCCACGUCAAUGGGCCUCAAAGUCAUCCUAGCUUCUCUCAGAGGAAACUGAGAACGGCCGUCACCUUUUAACCCGAAGAAUUGCUCCUGUAACCACAGAGAAUGCGAUCUUAGGUUGAAAAUGCGUGCCGGUCUGGAAAAGACUCUUGUAAUUCAGAGAUUUAAUGUCCGGUUUGACAAAUUUGCUGUUAUAAAUCAGCGUAGCGUAUAGGCGGUCAGUCAUUACAGCUUGCAAUUCAUUGACAGCGCUGCAGAAGUCAUAACUUAAAAGGAAACGAGAGACAGUCCAGUAUACUUUGAUAUAUAGCAUCUCUGUUAAAUCGUGUUCAACAUCUGUUAGAAAACCAGCUGGUACCCAGGAAAAAUAGCAAGCAGGGGUUUCUUUAAAUUAGCCACUGUUCUCUUUACACGAGCCCAGCUGGAUUUGUUAGCCCCUUUUAUCUCUCUCCAGGUGUAACUUUAAAAAAAGGGAAAAAGCGUUUUUAAAUGAAGUUUCAUUUUUCAAAGUCCUAGGGAAGAACAUAUCAAAUAACUUGUUAGGGAUAGCACUAACUGUUCACCAUUACAAACUAAUAUCACAGAGCAAGAGAUGUCCAUUCUUCUCAAAUAUGGUCACAGCCAUUGGUGCAUGAUUCAAACCAACAGCAUGAUUGUCACAUUGAUUCUAUACAACAUUUCUGUAAACAAGAAGUUAAUAUUCAGUAACUUGUUAUAUAAUAGUGCUAGACUUUGUCUGUUUUUGCAGUGUUGUUUCUGACAGUGGUGUUGUUUUGCUACUGAAUGAAUCAGGAAUUUGAAUGAAUCAGUGAAUGAUUCAAAUUAUCCACUUAUAAGAACCAUCAUUUUUUCAUAAAGGAAAAUGUGAUCUAUAUUUACUGGUGAUAUAUUUAUGAAGGAUGAAACACAC
ensembl:lncRNA